rnacentral:rRNA from 1 species
GAUGAACGCUGGCGGCGUGCUUAACACAUGCAAGUCGAACGGAAAGUCCCAAGCUUGCUUGGGUACUCGAGUGGCCAACGGGUGAGUUACACGUGGGUGUUCUUCCCUUCACUUCGGGAUAUGCCUUGGAAACUGGUUCUAAUACCGGAUAGGACCUCAUUUUGUUUGGUGUGCUUGAAAGUUUUUCGGUUUUGGUUUGGCUGGCGGCCUAUCAGCUUGUUGGUGGGGUAAUGGACUACAAAGGCGUCGUCGGGUAGCCGGCAUGUGAGGGUGUACGGCCAAAAUGGGACGGAGAUAGGGCCCAGAAGGGAACGGGAGGGAAGAGGGGGGAAGAUUGCAAAAGGGGAGCAAGGAUGAUGAAGAGAAGCAGGGUGGGGGAAGAAGGCCUGCGGGUUGAAAAAUCAAGUCGAUAGGGAAGAAGAGAAAGUGACGGUACCUGGAGAAGAAGCACCGGCUAACUACGUG